ACGAACGCUGGCGGCGUGCUUAACACAUGCAAGUCGAACGGUGAAGGGACUGGUUUUGCUGGUCCUGGAUGAGUGGCGAACGGGUGAGUAACACGUGAGUAACCUGCCCCCUUCUUCUGGAUAACCGCAUGAAAGUGUGGCUAAUACGGGAUAUUCUGGGUCUGUCGCAUGGUGGGCCUGGGAAAGAUUGCGCCUUUUUUGGUGUUUUUGGUGGGGGAUGGGCUCGCGGCCUAUCAGCUUGUUGGUGGGGUGAUGGCCUACCAAGGCGGUGACGGGUAGCCGGCCUGAGAGGGUGGACGGUCACACUGGGACUGAGACACGGCCCAGACUCCUACGGGAGGCAGCAGUGGGGAAUAUUGCACAAUGGGCGCAAGCCUGAUGCAGCGACGCCGCGUGAGGGAUGGAGGCCUUCGGGUUGUGAACCUCUUUCGCCAGGGAAGCAGGCCUGACUCUUUUUGUGGGUGGGUUGACGGUAGCUGGAGAAGAAGCGCCGGCUAACUACGUG
rnacentral:rRNA from 1 species